rnacentral:rRNA from 1 species
GCUAAACAGCUAGCUCACACAGACAUUUAAAUAACAACAUUAAUUAUAUGCAUAUGACCCAAAUAAAUCUAAUUAAACCAUUCUCCUGCCUUAGUACGGGCGACAGAAAAGGCAACUAUGAAGCUAUAGAAAAAGUACCGCAAGGGAAAGCUGAAAGAGAAAUGAAAUAAACCAUUAAAGCCCAACAAAGCAGAGAUUAAAUCUCGUACCUUUUGCAUCAUGAUUUAGCCAGUCGUACUUGAGCAAAGAGAACUUUAGUUCAAAGCCCCGAAACCAAGCGAGCUACCCCAGGACAGCCUAUUAGGGCCAACCCGUCUCUGUGGCAAAAGAGUGGGAAGAUCUUUGGGUAGAGGUGACAAGCCUACCGAGCUUGGUGAUAGCUGGUUGUCUAGGAAAUGGAUAGAAGUUCAGCCCCGCACUCCUUAACUCACCAGGGCCACCACACCACGAGACAAAGAAAGACGCGAGAGUUAGUCAAAGGGGGUACAGCCCCUUUGAAUCAGGACACAACCUUACCAGGAGGUUAAGGAUCAUACUAAACAAGAUCUUCUGCUUCAGUGGGCCUAAAAGCAGCCAUCUGCAUAGAAAGCGUUAAAGCUCAGGCAGUUUAUAAAUCUAUUAUUCUGAUACCCCAUCCCACACCCCUUCACUUACUAGACCGUUCCAUGCCAACAUGGAAGUGACCCUGCUAAAAUGAGUAAUAAGAAGGUGUACCCUUCUCCUAUAGCCCGUGUGUAAGUUAGAUCGGACCUACCACUAACAAUUAACGAACCCAACCCAAGAGGGUAAAAUGACAAAAACACAAGAAAAACCCACACAACCUCAUCGUUAAACCCACACUGGAGGGCUACCAAGGAAAGAUUAAAAGAAGAGGAAGGAACUCGGCAAACACAAGCCUCGCCUGUUUACCAAAAACAUCGCCUCCUGCAAACAUUCAACGUAUAGGAGGUCCUGCCUGCCCAGUGACUAUUAGUUAAACGGCCGCGGUAUUUUGACCGUGCUAAGGUAGCGCAAUCACUUGUCCUUUAAAUGAGGACCUGUAUGAAUGGUGGAACGAGGGCUUAACUGUCUCCCCCCUCUAAUCAAUGAAAUUGAUCUGCCCGUGCAGAAGCGGGCAUAAAAAUACAAGACGAGAAGACCCUUUGGAGCUUAAGAUACUCAAAUCAACUGCAUUCAAUCCCCUUAUUAAAAGGAUCAAAUAAUAACAGCAUCUGAUUAAUUAUCUUCGGUUGGGGCGACCGCGGGGGAAAACAAAGCCCCCAUGUGGAAUGGGAUAUAACCCUAAAACCAAGAGAGACAUCUCUAAGUCACAGAACUUCUGACCAAAAGAUCCGGCUACAUAUGCCGACCAGCGAACCAAGUUACCCUAGGGAUAACAGCGCAAUCCUCUUUAAGAGUCCAUAUCGACAAGUGGGUUUACGACCUCGAUGUUGGAUCAGGACAUCCUAAUGGUGCAGCCGCUAUUAAGGGUUCGUUUGUUCAACGAUUAAAGUCCUACGUGAUCUGAGUUCAGACCGGAGCAAUCCAGGUCAGUUUCUAUCUGUAAAUGCUGUUUUUUCUAGUACGAAAGGACCGAAAAAACAAGGCCCAUACUUAAAGCACGCCUUAAUUCUACUUGAUGAAAACAACUAAACCAAACAAAGAAAAGCACCCUCCCCUCCCAAGAUAAGGGACUU